GCCAAAUAAUGAGGUCAAACACACCCUUAAUGCCUUUACUAAACUCUUAUCUUUUCGACGACCAAAGAAAACCAUAGGUCACUCUUCUCAAGAUAUCAGAUCUUCAAACUCGACGAGUUGAAGGAGAGAUCCACCUGAAGCACAUCUGCGUUCGUCCUUCUCAACCAUUGCUUUCCCGCCGAAGGCUGCCUUCUUUCUCUUGAGCUGUCGUUUGCCAAUCAAAGGAGAGAUUCAUCUCAAGCACCUAAAGCUUCACUCAGUGCUUUCAUCCUCCUACACCGUAUUUUUACGAUCAAAAACCAAUUAUAUCAGGCAAGUUUUGCUGUAAAUUUAUCAUGUUCGUUUUGUAAUUUUAUAUUUUGAGCUUUUCGACCUUGUCAUUGUUGUGAUUUAGGUUUUUUCGUAAAACUGAGAUUUGAUUCUAGGAUUUGUAUUCCAUGAAUUAAUUUAUUGAGGUAGUUAUAUUUAACAACGAAAAAAGUUGUUUGUAUUGUCAUUAGUUCGAAAUAGUGCCUGUUAAAUUUCAAUCAAAUCUGGAAUGCUGUUUGUAUUUAUUAGUCACCAAAUAUAGUUCUAAAUUUCCAAUUUCAUGUCCUUUCGGGUUUUAAUUCUGAAUAUCCUCCUUGACCUUGUUUAGUAUUAAACUUAUGAAAAUUAGUGUAUUGCGCCUUUUUCCUCUCAAGUUUAUAUUUAGUAGUAUUUCCAUUUUUUCCCUUUACUUUGCAAAGUUCUAAGUUUUACUAAUCUUAUGAGUCAUAAUAGAUUGUUCAUUUUUAAAUUGUUCAAAAUUUGUGUAAAAUCAUCUCAUGAUGACUCCAUGGGCUGAGGGAAUAUGAGAAAUGUACAGAUUACUAUAACUAUACUUAACUAUGGCAAAACCGUAAAAGGCUAAUUUUUUGGAGGAUGCUGGUUGCUUUGAAGGAGAGCUUCAUUUUCAUAACAUUCAGUUCUCCCCUUUAAAGUGGACAAGGAAAAUCUGGUUAUUGUCAGAAACACACAUAUGGAGGAUGAGCUUCUAGAUUUUGAAUAUUUGUGGAGGAGUGUCUCCAUAUAGAAAUUUAUUCUAUGGGUUACUUUUAAUUAGAAUCCUGGAUAUUCCAAUAGAGAGGCUCGAGUAUCAUACUCUUUCACUUAAAAAAUAUGCUUGCUUAGUAAGGUUUUGAAUUGAUACGACCAAAUUUAUCGCCUCAAUAACAUGUGAUUAAAUAUUGUUUACGUUGGUCAAACUACUCUCCAUCAUUGAAGCACUUCUCUCUGUGUUAUUUACAACAACAACCUUAAAAGUGCUCUUUUAAUCGAUCGGGUAUCUUGGAUGAAUUAAAAGGGAACUUGACAGUAGGAUAUUUGUGCCCUCUCUUCUUGUAGAAAUAAAUCAGAAAUGCAAAGCUUACAAUAGGGCUGCAAUAAUAGCUAAUUUAGUGUUGGAGCUUUCUUUUUCUUUAAUCCAUUUGUAAUAUAGUGCUUGGAUUAGAUGUGCCAAUCGAGGAUUUUGAAUCUUCAAAUGACAUGGCACUUCCUUGUGAAUGAGCUUUUCCAGUCUAAUUUGAAUUUAAUAGAAAACUUUCAUCUAAGACAAACUUUAGACUGCUGCUACAAUUUGGAAGAUGAGGGAAAAAAUUGUCACCACUAAAGUUCAAGUAAAAAAUUCAUAUCCGUAACAACUCAGGUCUCUGUACCCAAGUCGUUAAUUUACGUAGUGUCCGCUUUGGGUGGGUCUUGCACCCACUUACCCCUCACGGCUUUCUGUCGUGUACCCCAGGAUUCGAACUCAUGACCUUCCCCUUCAGUAAGACUUAAGUUGAAUCCUAGUACCAAUUAUAGUGUCCGCUUUGGUACCAGGAUUCAACUUAAGUCUUACUGAAGGAGAAGGUCAUGAGGUCGAAUCCUGGGGGACGCGACAGAAAGUCGUGAGGGGUAAGUGGGCGUAAGGCCCACCCAAAGCGGAUACUAGUAAGCUAACAGUUUGGGUACAAAGACUUGGGUCGUUACAAAAAAAUGUCCCCCAGGAUUCGAACUCAUGACCUUCCCCUUCAGUAAGACUUAAGUUGAAUCCUGGUACUUGUCCAAUUCGUACCAGGAUUCCGCUUAAGUCUUACUUAAGGGAAAUGUCAUAAGUUCGAAUCUUGGGGGAUGUGACAAAAAGUCGUGAGGAGUAAAUGGGCGCAAGACCCACUCAAAGCGAAGAGUACGUAAGCUAAUGACUUGGGUAAAUAGACCCGGGUCGUUACAAAAAAAUUAAUGCAAUAGGAAAGUCUUGGAUAAGAUUCGAACCUUGAACCCUUAUUAUAAUCAUUGAAAGCCUGACCACUGUAGCAUCUAUUGCUUUUUGUUAAAUCACUAUUCACGUGAACAGUGUCACAACAUCAAACUAAUAGUGACACUAUUUGGGUAAACGGCGUUCAAGAAGUUUUUUUCCCCCACCAAACAUCAUUCAAAAGAAGAGCUAAACCAGCAAAUAUAGAUAGUGUAAAACAGAGGCAAUAACAAAAUAAAAUUUUAAUUCUAAACUGUCAUCAAUUUUAAAUCCAUCCAAAGGUAUUAUUAUUUAAAAUCAAAUUAAUAAUAAAAACAAACAAACAUUUAAUGUCAAACUUUUAAGAAAAUAAAAUUUAUCACUAUUUUUUUUAAGUCUACAAAAACGUAGACCCGCUCUAAUACCAUUCUGUAACGACCCAAAUUUAAGAUUUAAACCGUUACCAAAAUCAUUUAUUUUAAUAGUGAAGUGCAUGAAAUUAACGAACACGUACUAAUUUAUCGGAGAAUCUCACAACUAAAAAUAAAAUAUAUCCAAAUUAACACAAAAAUCACGUAUAUCAAAUUUAUUAACAAGAAAAUAAAAUGUUGGAAUCAAAAAGUUUUGCCACAUUAACUGCAACGACCCAAAUAUUUUCAGAUUUAAACCGUCACCAAAAUCAUUUAUUUUAAUAGUAAAGUCCAUGAAAUUAACGAACACGUACUAAUUUAUAGGAGAAUCUCACAGCUAAAAAUAAAAUAUAUCCAAAUUAACACAAAAAUCACGUAUAUCACAUUUAUUAACAAGAAAAUAAAAUGUUGGAAUCAAAAAGUUUUGCCACAUUACACUGGAUUUAAUAAUUUAAUUCCAAUUAUCCUGGCAACAACGACUGCACCUCAUCGCCCGCCAACCAAUGAUCCGUUCAAACCUGUAAGGGUAGGGAAAAAUGUGAGUAAAUGGGAAUACUCAGUAGGACAGCGCAAUCCCGAAUAAAAGUAUUUAGAUCAUGCGUCAAAAAUAUCAUACCAUCAUAUCAUAUCUUAGAAACUGUUAGAACUCAAUACAUAUCAUAUCUUUGGUACCGGAUGACCAUAUCAUAUCAUAUCAUAUCAUAAUCAUAUUAUAUCAACACUUUCAUAAAUAUAAUAUUCAUCAACAUGAAGAAAUAUAUUUAAACGGGACUAAUCACUUGCACUUCGAAAUCCUACCUUAGUUCGAAAUGGUAUAGUGGUGACUACCUCAAAUGAAAUUUCUUUUCAAAUAUUGAAUCUAAAAAUGGUCUCUUCUUUCUUCUGUAAUUCCCAGGUAUGAAUGAGGUAGUAAAUUACAUAUACAAUUGCUUGUGAAAAAGAAGAAAAGGAGCGUGACUAUGUCUUUCCAGAUUAGGUGCUGAAUGAUCUGGUUUGCCAAAAAUGUUUGUCAAUCCCUUUACUGAAAAUUAGCAUCUCAUUACUGAAAAUUGGUGGUUACCUUUAUGGUAGUGAAAUUUUCUUAAUUUACGGUCCCCAAUUGUGGAAUAAUUUCACUUGAUGAAAGUGCAAAUGGUUGAUUGGGUUUUGCCCAUAAUUUUAAUGGAAGGCAAAUUACUAAUUCAAAACAAUUUUAAAUUAAAUCAAAACUUCUAUUUUUAUGUCUACUAAAACGUGGUGGCCAACUAGUGAACAUGCCAAAUUAGAUAUUAGUUAAAUAUGUAUUUCUUUGUGCUACAAAAACAAGGGCCUAACAUGUCCAAAAUAAUUUUUUUCUCAAGUCUAAAAUGUGCCAUUUAAUGUGAGCUUCAAAACUAGUUUAAUUUUGAUAGGGAAAUUCUCGUUAAAUUAAUGCUUGAUUAUUCUACCGAAUAAAGCAACAACGUUGAAACAUAUUUCACUUUAGUCCCUCAAUUUCCAAAUAUAAAAAUAUAGUAUAUNUGUAAGGGUAGGGAAAAAUGUGAGUAAAUGGGAAUACUCAGUAGGACAGCGCAAUCCCGAAUAAAAGUAUUUAGAUCAUGCGUCAAAAAUAUCAUACCAUCAUAUCAUAUCUUAGAAACUGUUAGAACUCAAUACAUAUCAUAUCUUUGGUACCGGAUGACCAUAUCAUAUCAUAUCAUAUCAUAAUCAUAUUAUAUCAACACUUUCAUAAAUAUAAUAUUCAUCAACAUGAAGAAAUAUAUUUAAACGGGAUUAAUCACUUGCACUUCGAAAUCCUACCUUAGUUCGAAAUGGUAUAGUGGUGACUACCUCAAAUGAAAUUUCUUUUCAAAUAUUGAAUCUAAAAAUGGUCUCUUCUUUCUUCUGUAAUUCCCAGGUAUGAAUGAGGUAGUAAAUUACAUAUACAAUUGCUUGUGAAAAAGAAGAAAAGGAGCGUGACUAUGUCUUUCCAGAUUAGGUGCUGAAUGAUCUGGUUUGCCAAAAAUGUUUGUCAAUCCCUUUACUGAAAAUUAGCAUCUCAUUACUGAAAAUUGGUGGUUACCUUUAUGGUAGUGAAAUUUUCUUAAUUUACGGUCCCCAAUUGUGGAAUAAUUUCACUUGAUGAAAGUGCAAAUGGUUGAUUGGGUUUUGCCCAUAAUUUUAAUGGAAGGCAAAUUACUAAUUCAAAACAAUUUUAAAUUAAAUCAAAACUUCUAUUUUUAUGUCUACUAACACGUGGUGGCCAACUAGUGAACAUGCCAAAUUAGAUAUUAGUUAAAUAUGUAUUUCUUUGUGCUACAAAAACAAGGGCCUAACAUGUCCAAAAUAAUUUUUUUCUCAAGUCUAAAAUGUGCCAUUUAAUGUGAGCUUCAAAACUAGUUUAAUUUUGAUAGGGAAAUUCUCGUUAAAUUAAUGCUUGAUUAUUCUACCGAAUAAAGCAACAACGUUGAAACAUAUUUCACUUUAGUCCCUCAAUUUCCAAAUAUAAAAAUAUAGUAUAUAGAACAUAUAAAUCUUAUUUUAUAAAAUAUUUGGGGCGNGCCAAGCGCCUCGAGGAGGCGAUGCAUUACGGGGACGCUGUGCGCAUGAAAUUAACGAACACGUACUAAUUUAUCGGAGAAUCUCACAACUAAAAAUAAAAUAUAUCCAAAUUAACACAAAAAUCACGUAUAUCAAAUUUAUUAACAAGAAAAUAAAAUGUUGGAAUCAAAAAGUUUUGCCACAUUAACUGCAACGACCCAAAUAUUUUCAGAUUUAAACCGUCACCAAAAUCAUUUAUUUUAAUAGUAAAGUCCAUGAAAUUAACGAACACGUACUAAUUUAUAGGAGAAUCUCACAGCUAAAAAUAAAAUAUAUCCAAAUUAACACAAAAAUCACGUAUAUCACAUUUAUUAACAAGAAAAUAAAAUGUUGGAAUCAAAAAGUUUUGCCACAUUACACUGGAUUUAAUAAUUUAAUUCCAAUUAUCCUGGCAACAACGACUGCACCUCAUCGCCCGCCAACCAAUGAUCCGUUCAAACCUGUAAGGGUAGGGAAAAAUGUGAGUAAAUGGGAAUACUCAGUAGGACAGCGCAAUCCCGAAUAAAAGUAUUUAGAUCAUGCGUCAAAAAUAUCAUACCAUCAUAUCAUAUCUUAGAAACUGUUAGAACUCAAUACAUAUCAUAUCUUUGGUACCGGAUGACCAUAUCAUAUCAUAUCAUAUCAUAAUCAUAUUAUAUCAACACUUUCAUAAAUAUAAUAUUCAUCAACAUGAAGAAAUAUAUUUAAACGGGACUAAUCACUUGCACUUCGAAAUCCUACCUUAGUUCGAAAUGGUAUAGUGGUGACUACCUCAAAUGAAAUUUCUUUUCAAAUAUUGAAUCUAAAAAUGGUCUCUUCUUUCUUCUGUAAUUCCCAGGUAUGAAUGAGGUAGUAAAUUACAUAUACAAUUGCUUGUGAAAAAGAAGAAAAGGAGCGUGACUAUGUCUUUCCAGAUUAGGUGCUGAAUGAUCUGGUUUGCCAAAAAUGUUUGUCAAUCCCUUUACUGAAAAUUAGCAUCUCAUUACUGAAAAUUGGUGGUUACCUUUAUGGUAGUGAAAUUUUCUUAAUUUACGGUCCCCAAUUGUGGAAUAAUUUCACUUGAUGAAAGUGCAAAUGGUUGAUUGGGUUUUGCCCAUAAUUUUAAUGGAAGGCAAAUUACUAAUUCAAAACAAUUUUAAAUUAAAUCAAAACUUCUAUUUUUAUGUCUACUAAAACGUGGUGGCCAACUAGUGAACAUGCCAAAUUAGAUAUUAGUUAAAUAUGUAUUUCUUUGUGCUACAAAAACAAGGGCCUAACAUGUCCAAAAUAAUUUUUUUCUCAAGUCUAAAAUGUGCCAUUUAAUGUGAGCUUCAAAACUAGUUUAAUUUUGAUAGGGAAAUUCUCGUUAAAUUAAUGCUUGAUUAUUCUACCGAAUAAAGCAACAACGUUGAAACAUAUUUCACUUUAGUCCCUCAAUUUCCAAAUAUAAAAAUAUAGUAUAUAGAACAUAUAAAUCUUAUUUUAUAAAAUAUUUGGGGCGUUAAAAUCUCCCCCCCCCCCCCCCAAAAUAUUUUCAUCCCCGAAAAUUAUUUUGAAUGUUUGAAAUGUUCUAGACAAGAAAAAAAUGUACAUAUCGUUGAGUCUAUACUUAGGCAAUAGAAAAUGCAAACUACACAAAAUCUCUGAAUGAUCAUUUAUUUUCUUACCCACAUUACGUACCUUAGAGUCGUCGGAGGGUGGUCGACAAGUGGUUGUCGAGUGCCAAGGAUCUUUCAAAUUUGUCACAUGUUCUAGAACUUAGAUAAUAUAUAUAUUACAUCAUAUAUUUAAGUUUAUAUCAAACAAAUUAUUAAUAGCGCAUAAAGGUUAGCUACAUACACAUUUAAUACACUUAACAAUUUAAAUUAAUCUAAUUCUUAUAUAGACGCUUAUAUGACAAUCGUUUGAAACAAUCAUUUGAAAUACACAAUCAAUUUUUAUUUUUUUUAUCACCCAAAAUAUGAAAAUCGCCAGAAUUGUCGUUCAAUUUAAAAAAAAAAAAAAUCAAUGAUACCUAAAAAAUUUAAUAUUUGAAAAACAUUUAUAUCAGCCAGAAUUUAUUUAAGACAGUAAAAAAAAAAUUGUUUGAUAUGGAAUAAGCUUGCAGGAAUCAAACUAAAAUCGGUAAACCACGUCAUUAAAAUUUAAGAAUCCAGAAUAUAAUAUAAUUUUCAAAAAUGGACUACGACUAGAGAUCGGCAUGAUCAUUAUGUCUCACCAUUUCACUUCGUAUCGUGAAAUGUUGGAGAGGGCUCAUGCAAUUUCGUAUCAAAUGACUACAUUUGAACAGUAUUCUCAGUAGAGGAAGGAGUCAUUGGGAAAAAGGAAGUGGAAUGAUCAGAGUAAGGACAAACGUAACUGGCCGAAUAAAAGACCAAGUAUAGGAGUUCGUAUUGGUGGGACAAGUGGGAUUAUUACACCUUGUCCUAAGUGUAAUAAACUCCACAGGGGUGAAUGCUUAUUUGGUAAGAAUAUAUGCUUUCGAUGUAGCAAGCCGGGACACAUUGCCUUACACUGUACAGAACCUCCAAAGAAGGACGAUGAUCAGGACAAUAACAAGAAAGGGAAGGCUCGAGUUUUUGCACUAAACUAGCAUGAGGCGGAGUAGGAUCCGAAUGUGAUAGCAGGUAUGGUAAUAUUAUCUAGAAUACAUAUUUAUGUUCUAAAUUUUACAUCCUUCGGCGCUAAGACUAACACUAUAAUAACGAUAAAUAGGUAUUUUUUUUAUUAUCUGAUGUACCUGCUUACGUACUUUUCGAUUCUGGGGCUACAAAUUCUUUUAUCUUUGCAUCCUUCGUCGCUAGGUCAAACUUUGCAUGUGUGAAAAUGAAUUAUGAAUUUCAGGAAGAACUCUUUGUACAAACCAGAUGACUAAGACUAUGAAGUUAGAGAUUGACGGAAAAAUAUUACAUGCUAACUUAUAACUUUUGGAGAUGAAAGAUUUCGAUGUCACGAGAAAAAAGUAUUAUUUUACAGAUCGGGAGAGGAAGAAUUCCGUUUCUUUGGAGCAAAGUUAUUCAAGCGGAAAAGAUGUUGAAAAAUGAGUCAUGUCAAGGAUUUCUAGUUAAUAUCACUAGUUCCCAAUCUAUAGAAAUGACUUUUAACGAUAUUAACAUCGUGCGAGACUUUGUAGAUGUAUUCCUCGAAGAGUUACCGAGCAUUCCACAAGAUAGGCAAGUUGAAUUUACAAUUGAUUUGGUUCCUAGAGCAGCACCAGUAUCCAAGGCCCUGUACCGAAUGACACAAAGGAACUUCAAGAAUUGAAGUUGCAAUUAGAAGAGUUGCUGGAGAAAGGUUUCAUUCGACCAAGUGUAUCUUCUUGGGGCACUCCUGUACUUUUUGUGAAGAAGAAGGAUGGAAGUAUGUGGAUGUGUAUUGACUAUUGAGAAUGAAUCAUUUAAUUAUCAAAAAUAGAUACCCCCUACCAAGAAUAGAAGCUUUAUUCGACCAAUUAAAGUGUGCAACGGUGUUUUCGAAGAUCGACUUAAGGUCGGGGUAUUAUCAGCUAAAGAUCAAGGCAAGCGAUAUACCAAAAACUGCUUUCAGGACUCAUUAUGAGCAUUACGAGUUCACUGUCACGCCUUUCGGUUUGACCAAUGCUCCAGCGGUAUUUAUAGACCUAGUGAACCGAGUGUUUCAUCAGUAUUUGGACCAGUUCAUAACAGUAUUUAUUGACGAUAUACUUGUGUAUUCCAAAGAUAGGAAGCAGCAUGGGGAACAACUCUGAAUAUUACUUGAUACUUUGAGGGAGGAGAAAUUAUAUGCCAAAUUUAAGAAGUGCGAAUUUUGGCUCGAUCGCAUAGGUUUUCUUGGUCACGUGGUUAACGCCCAAGGAAUUGAAGUAGACCCAGUUAAAGUGGAAACAGUAACUAAUUGACCUAGCUCGUCCACUGCAAGUGAAGUUCGCAGUUUCUUAGGAUUGGUCGGCUAUUAUCGGAGAUUUAUUGAGGGUUUCUAAAAAAUAGCAGGUCCAAUAACUCAGUUGACUCGAAAGGGUGUGAAGUUUCAAUGGACGGGAAAAUGUGAAAAGUAUUUUCAAGAACUUAAACAUAGAUUAGUCUCAGCUCCUGUUUUGACUAUACCUGAAGGUUCGGAUGAGUUUGUAAUUUAUAGCGAUGCCUCCAAACAGGGCUUAGGUUGUGUGUUAAUUCAACAUGGCAAGGUGAUUGCUUAUACCUCGAGACAAUUGAAACAGUACGAGUAGAACUAUCCGACGCAUAACUUGGAACUAGCAGCGGUGGUUCAUGCCUUAAAGAUAUGACGUCAUUAUCUUUAUGGUAGGAAGUGUGAAAUUUAUACGGACCACAAGAGUCUCAAAUACUUUUUCACACAGAAUGAACUGAAUAUGAGAUAGAGGAGAUGGUUGGUGAAAGAUUAUGACUGUACAAUUCAUUACCAUCCGGGUAAGGCUAAUGUAGUCGCAGAUGCCUUAAGCAGAAAGAAGGGAUUACAGUUAGCAAUUUUACCCUCCGUGCAGGAACACUUGAUAAAGGACUUUGAAAAACUAAGAAUGGAAGUCAUCACACCACCAACUCAGACUACAACGAGAAUAAGAGCAUUAAUGAUUCGACCCACUCUUCGGGAUCGAAUUAAGGAAGCACAGGAGAAGGAUCCAUUUUUGCAAAAGAUUAAGGCUAAGAUUGGUACAAAGAAGCGUAUAGGAUUCGGAGUAUCCACAGAUAAAGCAUUGAGUUUUAAAGGAAGAUUGUGUGUACCUAAGGAUGAGGGUAUAAGAAAUGAGAUAUUGGAAGAUGCUUACUCCACCCCGUAUGCGGCACAUUCUAGCGACACAAAAAUGUAUCAAGAUCUUCGAGACACAUUUUGAUGAAGAAACAUGAAAAGAGGAAUUGGUCUAUUCGUGGAAAAAUGUAUGGUCUGUCAGCAGGUUAAGGCAAAACAUCAAAGGCCAUCAGGACUGUUCAGACCACUUGAUAUUCCAGAAUGGAAAUGGGAACACAUAGCGAUGGAUUUUGUGGUAGGUCUUCCAAAAUCAGCAAGAGGUUACAAUGUUAUUUGGGUAAUGGUUGAUCGUUUGACGAAAUCAGCUCAUUUUCUGCCAAUUAAAGUAAAGUUUAGUAUGGAACAACUUGCACAAUUAUACAUCAGGGAAAUAGUCAGAUUGCAUGGAGUUCCUGUCAGCAUUGUUUCAGAUAGAGACACGAGAUUCACAUUGAAAUUUUGGAAUAGUUUACAGGUUGCUAUGGGUACGAAAUUGAAGUUUAGUACUGCUUAUCAUCCUCAGACGGACGAACAAUCAAAAAGAACCAUCCAAACUCUAGAAGAUAUGUUGAGAGCAUGUAUUUUAGAUCUUGGUGGUAGUUGGGAGACACGCCUACCUUUAGUGGAGUUUGCUUAUAACAAUAUUUUUCAGGCCACCAUAGGUAUAGCCCCAUAUGAAGCUCUUUAUGGUAGGAAGUGCAAAUCCCCUAUCCAUUGGGAUGAGGUCGGGGAGAAUAGAAUUUUGGGUCCUGAAAUCAUUCAAUGAAAAGUUGAGGCAGUUGACAAGAUUAGAGCCAGAAUAAAGACAGCACAAGACCGACAAAAAAGUUAUGCUGAUGGUAGGAGAAAGGAUUUUGAAUUUAGUGUGGGCGACAAAGUUUUUCUUAAAGUAGUACCCAUGAAGGGUGUAUUGAGAUUUGGAAAGAAAGGGAAGUCGAGACCGUAAUUCAUUGGACCUUUUGAAAUUCUUGAAAGGAUUGGUAGUUUGUUUAGCUUACAGACUUGCCUUACCACAUGAACUAGCAGCAGUGCAUAAUGUGUUUCAUGUUUCGAUGCUCAGAAAAUAUGUCUAUGAUCCCAAACAAAAAGAUUUAUCGUAUGAGGAAAUCCCAACGAUCAUUUUGGAUAGAAAAGUACAUCAACUCAGAAACAGAAAAGUACCCUUGGUCAAAGUGCUAUGGAGAAAUCAUGGAUGAGACGAGUCAACAUGGGAGAAGGAAGAGGAGCUUAGAAUCAAGUAUCUAGAGCUCUUUGAUUAGCCAAGGUAAAUUUUCGUGGACGAAAAUAUUUCAAGGAGGGGAGGUUGUAAUGUC
rnacentral:lncRNA from 1 species